UAGUAAUAAUAUAUAAUAUAAUCUGACCUAAAUUUCAAAAAAAAAAAAAAAGAAUCUGACCUAAAAAAUUUUAAACCUAAUAAUCAUUUCACUUUCUUCUCUUUCUCCUACAGUCGCUUUCAUCUCCUACCACCAGUCCUGAUCUUGAGCCCUUGCCGACCAAUCUAGAUCUUCAGUCGGCAGUCUACUUCAGUCACCUUAACAGUGCCCGUCUCUUCAGUCGCCUGAGAAAUCGACACCAUCUCUUCAGUCGACCAUCUCUUUAAUGCUUGUGGACAUGUUUGGCUGUAAUAAUUGGCGUUAAAGCUGCUUUUGAUUGUGGAACUGAAGUAAUCAAAAGUAGAGGUAAGAUAGAAGAUAGUAGUUUUUGGUGAAAAGGUUGCCAUUUGAUCAAUAGAAAAAAAAAAAAAAAGAGAGGAAAGACAACAAAAAUUGAAGUUGAUCGAUAUCAGUUGAAUUUUAACAUUUUAAGUUUAGCUAUUUAUAAAUAAAGUAUCACGAAUGCUUUAAUUUCAGGAUUAUACACAUAUUUUCUUUUGGUAUAUGCUUUUAAGUUACUCAAUUGAUGAAGAAGCUGUUAGAAA